rnacentral:rRNA from 1 species
AACGAACGCUGGCGGCAUGCCUAACACAUGCAAGUCGAACGAGACCUUCCGGUCUAGUGGCGCACGUGUGCGUAACGCGUGGGAACCUGCCUUUAGGUUCGGAAUAACUCAGAGAAAUUUGAGCUAAUACCGGCUGAUGUCUUCGGACCAAAGAUUUAUCGCCUUUAGAUGGGCCCGCGUUGGGUUAGCUUGUUGGUGGGGUAAAGGACUACCAAGGCGACGAUCCAUAGCUGGUCUGAGAGGAUGAUCAGCCAGACUGGGACUGAGACACGGCCCAGACUCCUACGGGAGGCAGCAGUGGGGAAUAUAGGACAAUGGGCGAAAGCCUGAUCCAGCAAUGCCGCGUGAGUGAUGAAGGCCUUAGGGUUGUAAAGCUCUUUUACCCGAGAUGAUAAUGACAGUACCGGGAGAAUAAGCUCCGGCUAACUCCGUG